AGCGAACGCUGGCGGCGUGCCUAACACAUGCAAGUCGAACGUGAACGGGGGCAACCCCUAGUAAAGUGGCGUACGGGUGAAUAACGCGUAGGCAAUCUACCCCAAAGUCUGGAAUAACCGGCCGAAAGGCUGGCUAAUACUGGAUAGAGCGACGGAAUCCGUAAUUGGGUUUUUUCGGGAAAGGGAGGGAGCAAUCUCCCUCGCUUUGGGAUGGGCCUGCGUCCCAUCAGCUAGUUGGUAAGGUAAUGGCUUACCAAGGCGAUGACGGGU
rnacentral:rRNA from 1 species